CAGAAUGGUUGGAAAUCAUUCAUAGAGUGUAAAGGCAUAAGGGAGCUUGACUGCGAGACCUACAAGUCGAGCAGGGUCGAAAGACGGACUUAGUGAUCCGGUGGUUCCGCAUGGAAGGGCCAUCGCUCAACGGAUAAAAGCUACCCCGGGGAUAACAGGCUUAUCUCCCCCAAGAGUUCACAUCGACGGGGAGGUUUGGCACCUCGAUGUCGGCUCAUCGCAUCCUGGGGCUGUAGUCGGUCCCAAGGGUUGGGCUGUUCGCCCAUUAAAGCGGUACGCGAGCUGGGUUCAGAACGUCGUGAGACAGUUCGGUCCCUAUCCGUCGUGGGCGUAGGAAAUUUGAGAGGAGCUGUCCUUAGUACGAGAGGACCGGGAUGGACAUACCUCUGGUGUACCAGUUGUCGUGCCAACGGCAUAGCUGGGUAGCUAUGUGUGGACGGGAUAAGUGCUGAAAGCAUCUAAGCAUGAAGCCCCCCUCAAGAUGAGAUUUCCCAACUUCGGUUAUAAGAUCCCUCAAAGAUGAUGAGGUUAAUAGGUUCGAGGUGGAAGCAUGGUGACAUGUGGAGCUGACGAAUACUAAUCGAUCGAAGACUUAAUCAAAA
rnacentral:rRNA from 1 species